UACAGAGACUGCAAGCGUUAUUCGGAUUCACUGGGCGUAAAGGGUGCGCAGGCGGUCGGGUAAGUCUGAUGUGAAAUCUCACAGCUUAACUGUGAAACUGCAUUGGAUACUAUCCGGCUCGAGGAAUGGAGGGGAGACUGGAAUACUUGGUGUAGCAGUGAAAUGCGUAGAUAUCAAGUGGAACACCAGUGGCGAAGGCGAGUCUCUGGACAUUUCCUGACGCUGAGGCACGAAAGCCAGGGGAGCAAACGGG
rnacentral:rRNA from 1 species